GACGAACGCUGGCGGCGUGCUUAACACAUGCAAGUCGAACGAAGUGGCGGACGGGUGAGUAAUACGUGAGUAACCUGCCCUCAUUUUUGGGAUAAGCCUUGGAAACGGGGUCUAAUACCGGAUACAGGGGGUUGGGCUCGCGGCCUAGCAGCUUGGUGGUGGGGUGAUGGACUACCAAGGCGGUGACGGGUAGCCGGCCUGGGAGGGUGACACGCGACAUUGGGCAUGGGAGACGGCCCAGAGUGCGACGGGAGGGAGGAGUGUGGGAUAAUGGGCAAUGGGCGAAAGGAUGAUGCAGCGGCGCCGCGUGGGGGAUGAAGGCUUGUGGGUUGUAAAUCUCUGUCGCGAUCGAACGGGUAGGUGGAGAAGAAGCGCCGGCUAACUACGUGCCAGCAGCCGCGGUAAUAC
rnacentral:rRNA from 1 species